GUGCUUUGCUUUCGCAGCGCGCACGCUAAAUUGGAUACGAUACAGAGAAGAUUAGCAUGGCCCUGCGCGCAAGGAUGACACGCAAAUUAGGUGAAGCGUUCCACAUUUUC
ensembl:snRNA U6 U6 spliceosomal RNA